AGGGCCAUCGCUCAACGGAUAAAAGGUACUCCGGGGAUAACAGGCUGAUACCGCCCAAGAGUUCACAUCGACGGCGGUGUUUGGCACCUCGAUGUCGGCUCAUCACAUCCUGGGGCUGAAGCCGGUCCCAAGGGUAUGGCUGUUCGCCAUUUAAAGUGGUACGCGAGCUGGGUUUAGAACGUCGUGAGACAGUUCGGUCCCUAUCUGCCGUGGACGUUUGAGAUUUGAGAGGAGCUGCUCCUAGUACGAGAGGACCGGAGUGGACGAACCUCUGGUGUUCCGGUUGUCACGCCAGUGGCAUUGCCGGGUAGCUACGUUCGGACGGGAUAACCGCUGAAAGCAUCUAAGCGGGAAGCCUCCCUCAAGAUGAGAUCUCACUGGAACUUUAAGUUCCCUAAAGAGCCGUUGAAGACUACGACGUUGAUAGGCAGGGUGUGUAAGUGCUGUGAGGCAUUGAGCUAACCUGUACUAAUUGCUCGUGAGGCUUGACCAUAUAAC
rnacentral:rRNA from 1 species